rnacentral:rRNA from 1 species
GAUGAACGCUGGCGGCGUGCUUUACACAUGCAAGUCGAACGGUGAAGCAGGAGCUUGCUCUUGUGGAUCAGUGGCGAACGGGCGAGUAACACGUGAGCAACCUGCCCCUGACUCUGGGAUAAGCGCUGGAAACGGCGUCUAAUACUGGAUAUGUGAUGUGACCGCAUGGUCUGCAUCUGGAAAGAAUUUCGGUUGGGGAUGGGCUCGCGGCCUAUCUGCUUGUUGGUGAGGUAAUGGCUCACCAAGGCGUCGACGGGUAGCCGGCCUGAGAGGGUGACCGGCCACACUGGGACUGAGACACGGCCCAGACUCCUACGGGAGGCAGCAGUGGGGAAUAUUGCACAAUGGGCGGAAGCCUGAUGCAGCAACGCCGCGUGAGGGAUGACGGCCUUCGGGUUGUAAACCUCUUUUAGCAGGGAAGAAGCGAAAGUGACGGUACCUGCAGAAAAAGCAUCGGCUAACUACGUGCCAGCCGCCGCAGUAA